GCCUGGGUGGCUCAGUCGGUUGAGCGUCCGACUUUGGCUCAGGUCAUGAUCUCGCGGUCUGUGAGUUCGAGCCCCACGUCGGGCU
rnacentral:tRNA from 1 species